AUGGCCACCUGCCUCUCUGAUAUUAUUAGUGACCAUUCCAUCGAUUUCCUAGGGUUACAUGAAACCUUGAAAAAGGACUUUUCUCCCAAACUUCUUAGAAGACUUGACCCUUUUAGCUCUUUUCAUUGGGAAUGGAUUCCUGCUAUUGGUAAAUCUGGGGGCAUCCUCUGUGGGAUUCGCAGCAGCAACCUGGAGUUGUUGAAAUGCAUUAAGGGGAAAUAUAUCUUAUAGUUGAAUGUUAAAGAUCUUAGAACCAAAAAAUGGAGUCUCCUGGUGGUUUAUGGAUCUGCUCAUGAGGAGCAUAGGGAGGAUUUCCUGAUGGAACUGGCUUCUUUCUGCCAUAACACUGAUAUCCCUUAUAUUGUUGGGGGCGAUUUUAACAUUCUGAGACACACUGGUGAGAAAAAUAAAAAGUUGCAUAGGUCCAAAUCAACUGAUCUUUUCAACUCCAUCAUCAAUACUCUAGGCCUUAGGGAAAUUUAUAUGAGUGGGGGGAAGUACACCUGGUCUAACAACCAAUCCCACCCCACACUCGAGAGACUUGAUAGGGUACUAAUGUCUGACUCUUGGGAGGAACUGUUCCCCAUGGUCUCCAUGAGAAAACUGGUCAGAGAACUAUCUGACCACAAUCCUCUCUUGAUAUACACUGAAGGG
rnacentral:rRNA from 1 species